UGCUGAUCCGCUGUAGUUACGUUCGACGCAAAGCUUCUAAUUUCGUGUUUUGAAAACGAUUUUUGCCGCUUUUUCUAUUGAAAUAUCGCCACUAUGAGCACAAGAAAGAAAGCAAGGAGGCCCAGGUGAGUUGUAGUUACGAUGUUAUGUAUGAAGACUUAAAUUGACCGGUUGAAAAUGCGUAAAAAGCGGCGAAAUUCUAUCCGGAGUUCGGCAUCAUGCAAACGUCUAAUCUUGUGAUAUAGGUCAGGUUAUUAAUGGCGAGAUGCUUUCGGCAAACGAUGUUUUAAUAUUGUUUGCCGAUGGAUAAAUCGUCUCUUUCGUAGUAUCUUUAUGAAUUAUUGCUUUGAAUUGAACCGCAAGAGCGCUUGAGAUGUCUGGUCGCUCUGAAAUUGUCCUUGUCGUAUUUUUGUGUUGGCCUGUGUCUGGCUGGCGCGUCUUCAUUAAAAUGUCAACAUUUUCUCCCUAAGUUUGUACAUUUAUAUGCCCUCUUUGUAUGGCAAAUUGACGAAUAAACAUUCAUUAUAUUCGUAGAAAUUAAUAUAGUCGUUACACGACGGCAUAGCGAAAUCAAAGCUAUCGAUUUACGAGGUAAAUAAGUGCUAUUAAAUAAUAUAUUCCCCUCAGAUUCUCUAGCGGUGCACAGCAGUAAAGCGUUGUUGUUUUAGGUGACCCUUUAUUUUUCGCAGCGCCACUUCGCGUUCCCUCCGUAAACAACGUUUGAAUGUUAAACUUAGACUGGAAAUCGUUUUAAAGUAGAAGGUUUUGCUUUGUGGAACAUUUGGACAAACAUUCGGGGGUUCUUGUCCGAACCACGGGCGCUCAUGAUGACACAAGUUAUGACUCUGGUUUAUUUUACUCA